UUGACAGCGCUGGUCGUACAAUACGAUUUUGUUUUAUUUAUUGCGAAAAAUCCUAAAAACGUAAUUUAUUUACCGCUCAAAAAGCCGAAGAGUCAUGUGUUAACAGUCUGAAAAACUGAAUCAGUGACCGUGCGGAUUGGUAGUGGUCAUACUAACCUCAGGUGUUAUGGACAGAGUUUGAUAGCAGCGGGAUUUUGAGGUUUUCUGUUGAAAUCUAAGUGCUGAAAAUGAGUUAUAAUUCGGGUGGGACGGGCGGGAAGGGGUUCGGUUUCGCCGGGUUCACGAUGCCGAAGAGGAACCCGUCGAAUGUGUCGUUGCACGCUGUGCCGCCGCCGACGACUCCGAUGCACGCCGUGCCUCCGCCGACAACUGGCCUAUCUAAACAGGGCUACUCCACGAUGACCGCGAUAACCCAGAACGCUGUGACCGGCAACUGGGGGACGCUGGGCAAAAAACGGGCGAAAACAGAAGAUGAGUAUUUUGAUGAUGAUGAUGAGCCAGCGACUCCUGCCCUGGCAUACAUCCCUGCUCCAGGCAGCCCUACCAACGAAGCAUCCAGUUCUAAGCGCGAUGAAGAAGAUGAAGAGGAUCCCCUAGACGCGUACAUGGCAGGACUGGAGAAGCAAGCCGCUAAAGACCUGGUGACCAGCAAGGAGAACGCUGCGAAGGGAGCCGACAGCACCCGCGGCGCCCGCGGAGACAUCGACGAGAUGGAUGAUGAAGAGAGUUAUUAUAAAUACAUGGAAGAGAAUCCACUAACGACAGCUGAUGAUGGAUCCGACCAGGAAAUAGAGUACGACGAGGAUGGAAACCCCAUAGCCCCUCCUAAGAAGAAGUUCAUAGAUCCUCUGCCUCCCCUAGACCACUCCGAGAUAGAAUACGAACCGUUUGAGAAGAAUUUCUACACGCCCCACGAGGACAUUGAGAGCUUGUCUCACACCCAGGUUGAGGAGUUGAAGAAGAAGUUGGGAGUCAAGAUUUCUGGACCUGAUCCCCCAAAACCGGUUAGCAGUUUCGGUCACAUGGGCUUCGACGAGCAACUGAUGAAGGCCAUACGCCGCUCUGAGUAUUCACAGCCCACCCCCAUACAGGCGGCCGGCGUGCCUGCCGCACUCGCGGGGAGAGAUAUUAUUGGUAUCGCCCGGACAGGGUCAGGGAAGACCGCGGCCUUCCUCUGGCCACUGUUGGUGCACAUCAUGGACCAGAAGGAGCUAGCACCCGGGGAUGGACCUAUAGGUCUCAUACUGGCACCUACCAGGGAAUUGGCACAGCAGAUAUACAUGGAAGCGAAGAGGUUCGGCAAAGUGUACAACAUAAGAUGUGUCUGCUGUUACGGUGGCGGUUCUAAAUGGGAGCAGACGAAGGCGUUAGAAGGUGGUGGUGCGGAGAUAAUAGUAGGAACCCCGGGUAGGGUCAUAGACCUCAUCAAGUGUAAGGCUACCAACCUGAAGAGAGUCACAUAUCUAGUGCUGGAUGAGGCUGACAGGAUGUUCGACAUGGGAUUUGAGCCGCAAGUCCGUUCAAUCUGCAACCACGUGCGGCCGGACAGGCAAGCCCUGUUAUUCUCAGCGACCUUCCCUCGCCGAGUGGAGAAGCUAGCUCGGGAUGCUCUGCACGACCCCGUCAGGGUCCAACACGGCGCCGCCGGGGAGGCCUGCGACCUCGUCUCCCAACAUGUCAGAAUAUUCAACAAACCAGAAGAAAAAUGGUCGUGGCUACUCAAAAACUUAGUGGAAUUCUUAUCGACGGGCAGUGUUCUCAUUUUUGUUACUAAAAAGUUAGACGCAGAGCAAACAGCAGCUAACUUAGGAGUCCAACAGUACGACGCGUUACUUCUACACGGUGACAUGGACCAGGCUGACAGAAACAAAGUCAUCACGGCUUUCAAACGACAGGAGAGCAGUAUUCUAGUCGCUACCGAUGUCGCUGCUCGAGGGCUGGACAUCCCGCACAUCCGCACCGUGGUGAACUACACGGUGGCGCGCGACAUCGACACGCACACGCACCGCGUGGGCCGCACGGGCCGCGCCGGCGUGCGCGGACACGCCUGGACGCUGCUGCAGCGGGACAAGGACAAGGAGUUCGCGGGACACCUGCUCAGGAACCUCGAGGGGGUGCAGCAGGAGGUACCAGAGGAGUUGAUGCACCUAGCGAUGCAGUCGGCGUGGUUCCGCAAGUCUCGUUUCAAGAAGGGCAAGGGGAAGAACCUCAACGUCGGCGGCUGUGGGCUCGGGUACAAGGAGCGGCCAGGGUUACCAGCCCACAAUGAUGACGCGACCCCCAGCGCUACAGUGGAGAAGGUCAGCCACGGGCCCGCCACCGACCGCCUCUCCUCCCUCAAACAGGCCUUCCGCUCGCAGUACAACCAGUUCACAGCAUCAUCGGACCACUCGUGGGAGCAGACGAUGUCGAGCAUCCAGCCCGGGGUCAACGCCCCCGCGGCGCAGCAGGAGGAGUCUCCCGCGCAGCAGGAGCGCGUGCGCCGCAGCGGCAAGCGCAGCCGGUGGGAGUAGCGUAUGCUGGGACACGGAUAGGUAUUGUUAAGGAAUCGCUUAGGCACGGUCAGUUGCCUAGUAAACUGUAUAUAUGUUACGGCAUGCUAUGAUGGCCGCUUUUGUUAUAAAUUACGAGGAGCGCCGGUUUUAAUCCCGGUAAUGGACUUGCAACAAUGAGUUAACCAUUAUAGACGGCGAUACGGCUCACCACCUAUCUCGGUCUAACAGAAAGCUCGGUGAGGUGUGGGUACUUCGUUCAUCUUGCUUUGGAGGUACCUCUGACUACCCCAAUUGGGAGUUGGGAGCUUAUAAUAUAUUUUGCUAGCAGCCUUCGCAACGUCAGACGCCCAAAUCGUUUAACUAUUGUGUCUGGAAAUCCGACCCUUACGAGGUUAACGUAACGUUCAAAUUCAAACCACAUUUGUCAGUACACUUUCAUCCUUUUCUUUUAGUCAGAAACAUCAUUUGCU
rnacentral:misc_RNA from 1 species